GUCCCCCCACCCUCAGGGUCCCCCUCCGCUGGGCACAAGAGGGGUUAAGGGAUUAAGGUUAAGGGGUUAAACACUCACCUUUCUCCAGCACCGGGCUCUCUCGGCGCUGGGGACUCUCCUCCCUCUUCCGACGUCAGCGGCCGAAUGGGCAUACGCGACAAGAGCCGCUCGCGCAUUCAAUCAGUCCAUAGGAAAGCAUUCCUCAAUGCUUUCCAUUGGACGGCAGCGUCUUCUCACUGUGAAAAUCACAGUGAGAAGCGCCUCUAGCGGCUGUCAAUGAGACAGCCACUAGAGGAUGGAUUAACUCUAAUGUAAACAUAGCAGUUUCUUUGAAACUGCUAUGUUUACAGCUGCAGAGUUAACCUUAGAUGGACCUGGCACUCAGAC